UUAAUUGAAGAGUUUGAUCAUGGCUCAGAUUGAACGCUGGCGGCAGGCCUAACACAUGCAAGUCGAGCGGUAACAGAGAGUAGCUUGCUACUUUGCUGACGAGCGGCGGACGGGUGAGUAAUGCUUGGGAACAUGCCUUGAGGUGGGGGACAACAGUUGGAAACGACUGCUAAUACCGCAUAAUGUCUACGGACCAAAGGGGGCUUCGGCUCUCGCCUUUAGAUUGGCCCAAGUGGGAUUAGCUAGUUGGUGAGGUAAUGGCUCACCAAGCGACG
rnacentral:rRNA from 1 species